CAGGGAAUCUUGCGCAAUGGGCGAAAGCCUGACGCAGCAACGCCGCGUGGGGGAUGAAGGCCUUCGGGUUGUAAACCCCUUUCAGUAGGGACGAAAUCAGACGGUACCUACAGAAGAAGCCCCGGCCAACUACGUGCCAGCAGCCGCGGUGACACGUAGGGGGCAAGCGUUGUCCGGAUUUAUUGGGCGUAAAGGGCUCGUAGGCGGUUCGACAAGUCGGGUGUGAAACCUCCAGGCUCAACCUGGAGACGCCGCUCGAAACUGUUGUGACUAGAGUCCGGUAGAGGAGUAUGGAAUUCCUGGUGUAGCGGUGGAAUGCGCAGAUAUCAGGAGGAACACCAGUAGCGAAGGCGAUACUCUGGGCCGGUACUGACGCUGAGGAGCGAAAGCAUGGGGAGCG
rnacentral:rRNA from 1 species